AUGUACUAGGAAGCAGGCUGAGCAAACCAUGAUCAGCAAGCCAGUAAGCAGCACUCCUUCAUGGCUUCUGGACCAGUCCUUGUCUCUAAGUUAUUUCCCUGCCCUUUUCUUCUACAGGAUGUUUUUGUCAUGUUGAUAUAUCACAACAUGGCACUGUCUCUAAUGGAAACACUGUUCUAGCAUGUUAAGACCUUAUUAUCACCAAAAUCUCACAGAGUUUGGAGGACAAUGUACCUGCAUCAGAAGGAAUUUGGAAACAUACUGAAAAUACAGAUCACAAAUCUCUACCAUCUAAGAAAAGGACCGUGAAGCCUAAAUUCUAAACCAGAACCUUGAAUGAAUAUUUUCAAGCUAAACCCAGGUUCUACCUCUUAAACUUGGCAGGAGCUUCGAAACAGCAUUACCACUGGAAAACCAAGUCAUCAACGGAAGGAGCUAAAGGUAGCACGCGGAUGAGAGGCUACUCAGAGAAGGAUAUAUUCUGGGAAAUGAAGUUGCCUGCUUUUUUAGGUAACUGCUGACGUGACAAUUCUAUGAUAGAUAAGCUUGUGCUCACUACCUACAGCCAGAGAUGGGUUUCUUCUCUGCUGCUACCAGACUUAUAGCCCUUGGCCUCCAACAACAGGAAGCAUUGGCCAUGUUUUUCAACAAUCUCUCUUUUCCUAUUUAGGAGGAAAAAUACCAUAAAAUCAAAGAACAGGUCAUAACAAGGACAACUAUUACAACAACUGAAAAUGAGGUCAUUUUUCCCAAGGAGAUGACAAUGGAAUUUUAAAUAGUCAUGUGAAGAGUUAAAACAAGCAUUUGACAUUGAAACGAUAAC